UACAGAGAUGGCAACCGUUGUUCGGAAUCACUGGGCUUAAAGCGCACGUAGGCGGACGAGUAAGUUGGAUGUGAAAGCCUCUGGCUCACCCAGAGAAAUGCAUCCAAUACUGCCUGUCUUGAGAGCGGAAGGGGAGAGUGGAACUCCUAGUGGAGCGGUGAAAUGUGUUGAUAUUAGGAGGAACGCCGGUGGCGAAAGCGACUCUCUGGUCCGAAUCUGACGCUGAGGUGCGAAAGCUAGGGGAGCAAACGGG
rnacentral:misc_RNA from 1 species